AGGCGGCCCAGAAUUAUGCCGGGGGUAAAAGGAGGAGGCUGCAAAUGCCCCCCAUGGGGAGGGCAAAGGCUCCUUGCGCCGCCCUUGCAGCGCCUUCCAAGCCGAGAGGAGCUCGGAGCCCGCACCUCGGGACUCGCCUGCCGCUCGCUCCGCGCGUGUGCGUGUGUGUGCGUGUGUCGGGGGGGGAGCGUCCUCUGCGGGUAUGCCGUAGCCUGCUGUGUCCGUGCCUGGCUUCUGUCUGAAGGCAUCCUCGAAGUACUGUCUCUGGCCUCCACACGACCCGCGGGCAAGGCAGAAGGGGAACAGCUUACUCUCCGUCCUCCUUCAUGCUCUGAACUUGAAAGAAAAGCGUCGGUGCGGUUGUAUUCUGUGAAGUCGGUGCCUCCAAAAGCAAUGUAUGCUUCCAUCCAAAUAAAUAAAUCCGAGUAAACUCCA